rnacentral:rRNA from 1 species
GAUGGACGCUGGCGGCGUGCCUAAUACAUGCAAGUCGAGCGAACGGACGAGAAGCUUGCUUCUCUGAUGUUAGCGGCGGACGGGUGAGUAACACGUGGAUAACCUACCUAUAAGACUGGGAUAACUUCGGGAAACCGGAGCUAAUACCGGAUGAUAUUUUGAACCGCAUGGUUCAAAAGUGAAAGAUGGUCUUGCUGUCACUUAUAGAUGGAUCCGCGCUGCAUUAGCUAGUUGGUAAGGUAACGGCUUACCAAGGCAACGAUGCAUAGCCGACCUGAGAGGGUGAUCGGCCACACUGGAACUGAGACACGGUCCAGACUCCUACGGGAGGCAGCAGUAGGGAAUCUUCCGCAAUGGGCGAAAGCCUGACGGAGCAACGCCGCGUGAGUGAUGAAGGUCUUCGGAUCGUAAAACUCUGUUAUUAGGGAAGAACAUAUGUGUAAGUAACUGUGCACAUCUUGACGGUACCUAAUCAGAAAGCCACGGCUAACUACGUG